rnacentral:rRNA from 1 species
AGUCGACGGCAGCACAGGAGAGCUUGCUCUCUGGGUGGCGAGUGGCGGACGGGUGAGGAAUACAUCGGAAUCUACUCUGUCGUGGGGGAUAACGUAGGGAAACUUAUGCUAAUACCGCAUACGACCUACGGGUGAAAGUGGGGGACCGCAAGGCCUCACGCGAUUGAAUGAGCCGAUGUCGGAUUAGCUAGUUGGCGGGGUAAAGGCCCACCAAGGCGACGAUCCGUAGCUGGUCUGAGAGGAUGAUCAGCCACACUGGAACUGAGACACGGUCCAGACUCCUACGGGAGGCAGCAGUGGGGAAUAUUGGACAAUGGGCGCAAGCCUGAUCCAGCCAUACCGCGUGAGUGAAGAAGGCCCUCGGGUUGUAAAGCUCUUUUGUUGGGAAAGAAAUCCUGUUGGCUAAUACCCGGCGGGGAUGACGGUACCCAAAGAAUAAGCACCGGCUAACUUCGUGCCAGCAGCCGCGGUAAUACGAAGGGUGCAAGCGUUACUCGGAAUUACUGGGCGUAAAGCGUGCGUAGGUGGUUGCUUAAGUCUGUCGUGAAAGCCCUGGGCUCAACCUGGGAAUUGCGAUGGAUACUGGGCGACUAGAGUGUGGUAGAGGGUGGCGGAAUUCCCGGUGUAGCAGUGAAAUGCGUAGAGAUCGGGAGGAACAUCCGUGGCGAAGGCGGCCACCUGGGCCAACACUGACACUGAGGCACGAAAGCGUGGGGAGCAAACAGGAUUAGAUACCCUGGUAGUCCACGCCCUAAACGAUGCGAACUGGAUGUUGGGUUCAACUUGGAACCCAGUAUCGAAGCUAACGCGUUAAGUUCGCCGCCUGGGGAGUACGGUCGCAAGACUGAAAC